CUGCUGGCAUUCCCGCAUGGACGGAAGCUCUGGGUUGCGAACACCCUCUACUCUACAGAUAUCUCGCACCGAGGCGUUUCUAUGUGGCACUCGUGAGCUCGUACACCUCAGCGUCUCCAUUUGUACGCGUGCGCUCGUUCAAGUAGGUAUUCUGAAAGAGUGGCAGAGAGUAUCUGCGAAUCAGACAGAGAGGGGCCCGGUGGGGAAAGAAAGCGCGCACUUAACAGCAGCAUCCAACACAUUUAGCAUCGGCACUCCGUGGCGGUUUUCGUUUUCCCUGUACGCAGAGCAUCACACAUCAGCUGAAGAAGUAGUUUUUUCCCCUUCUGCUGCUGCUCUCCGCGGCUCUUGAUAACGGCAUUUACUUCACCAUGGUAUCAGGGCGUGGAGCCCAGGCUCUGUGUGGGGAGGCCAAGAGCCUGCAGCCCGGCCGCCGAGCACGGCUGCGGCCUCUUGGCGUCGGCGGUCAGUGCUUGGCUGGCGCGGUGCCGAGGAGACGUGCGACCAUGAUCGCGCUUGGACCAGCUCACGACGAGUCGCACCGACGGCUCACCACAUAUGCGCGCAGGCGCCCACCGCUUUUCUGCCUUUGCUGCCUUUGCUGCGUUGCGGUGGUGUGGAGCGUGAUCGCGGCAACGGCCCGCUCUGCAUGCACCGGAAUCGCAGUGGGCUGGACGACGCCACACGGCGUUGGUUGUCCCGUCUCCUCGACGAGUCCUCGCUGCAAGUGUGUACGCUGCAGGAGACUCACUUCUCCCCUGCAGGCCUGGAAGGCGCCUGGUCUGCACGGCGUUCAGUCUUCUCGGUGCAGCAAGAGAGAGGGAGGGAGCACGAGUGUGGCCUCUUUGCGCUCGUGCAAGAGGGCAUGCGGGCAGGUGCGGGCCCUCCCCCUGUUUUCCAGCACGAGGGUGCCGCCGUGAUGGUGUGGCUUUGCGGCGUUGCCUUCCCUCCCCUCUUCCUCCUAGUCCUCACAAUGUGGGGAACGGACGCCGACUCGCACCACUUGCUGUAGGGCACGAAAGGACGAUUCGACCGUACCGGAGCCAUUGUAAGCGACGGGGUCAGCGACAGCGACUUGACGGCGCGAGCAAUGAAGACACCGACAUGGCGCAGUGCAGACGGGGACACGGAGACGUCAUCGUACGUUACCCUCGCCCUCAACUGCCUUCACGUACGGUUGCGGCACCGUCACAACGGCGCCUAGUGGCCACUGCGCGGUUCGAUUCACUGUACCGCGCGCCAUGGUUGACAAAUCCGGUUCUCAUGGACCGUGCGUGCCUCAACGGCGAAGAAGCGAGGACGCGCUAACCGCAGCAAGGGCAAAGGAGAGGCGGAUGGCCCACGCCAUCAUAGCCAUCACAACGCCAGCGCGCAUGCAUCGUUUCCAUGUAUAUCACUCAAUGCGGAGGUGAAGCGCAUGCCUAAUGGCAACAACCACCUGAAAGGCUGUCCCCUCUCUUUUAGAAGCGCUUAUUAUAGACCGCUGUGGGGACGGAAACGGGUGCGAUUUGAGGCAGCUUUGGUGAAGGCACACUGUGCGACGCCCGAGCAUUGCCCUCUCUCGACUAUGCUCGCCGAAAAAAAAAGCUCCAACUAGCCGCCCUGAAGGAGAGAUACUGUCCUGCGACAGCCUCGCUUUCCCCACCCUUCAGCGGCCCUCAAUCAUGGGCUCACAUCAGAUUCGGCCUGUCCAUGUCCCCGUGCGUCCUGCACACGCUAGCAAUGCUAUAGGGUGACUUCCAUCGGAGUGUGAGAGAGAGAGCAGGCCGACCCGUUGGUGACAGUGCACCAACAGAAACGGAGGCUACAUCCGGCAGUACCCCUCUUCCGUGUCCCACCGAGACGCAGAUCCACAUCCCUCCGACCGUCCACGAUGGGUGAGUUCGAGAUGGCGCUCCGUGAUUUGCACUGCGACGCCGCACCAGGCCUCCACGAAAUGCGCUGCGAGAGUGUCAAGGCUCUCCAGGUGCACGGCGGGGUGGGUGGGGGGGAUGCCCUGCGCACUAGUGGCGGGUGGUGCAGACGCUGGUAACAGCGGUGUGGCAGCACUUUGGCGGCCCUCACACGGACGUGCAGGCCUCGACGCCCUCGGAGCCCCGCACGCACACACCUCGCUUGUGCGCAGUGGCCGCGUGUUCCACAGCCCAUGACUCCCCGGACAGGCUGCAGGCGGACUGUGCGGCACAGGCAGAUAUCAUAUAUCAGGUGCGGCUGCAAUGGUUUGUGAUAAUAACACAUCUAUAGGCACGGCGAGAAGGGGCUGCGGCCUCCUUGCUUGUUGCCACCGCGCUGAGUGUAAAGCAGUGGAGGUGGGGCUCGGCCUGCUGCGAUAACAGCCGCAUCGACCAAGAAACCGAAGAGCAGGUGUACCUGGUUGUUGCGGACUCGCUCUCCUUCGUCACGGCGCUCGGCACGGGCCCCACAAGAGCGGAAGGAUGGCGUGCUGAUGCGUGCCUGGGCCCCAAUGCUGGUGCUGUUAGCCCGCCGCGUGGCGCCUCUCACUUCCGUUUGUGUGUGGUGAUUGCGAAUGGAGACACACCGACGACGCUGACAAGCAUGCGAAGUCGGCAAUGGCGGAGGGUCAGGCGACACUUGCAUGGAUCACGGUGUCGGUCGCUGGUCUCAGACGCCAGGCCGACAUCCACCGGAACUGCGGGCCACGCGAUGCGUCACGCGCUACUUGACGGCGACCGCCCCACACUAGAAAAAAGAUGCGGAGCCCACGAGGCGACAGGCGGACCCUCCUCGCCCAGCUCCGCACGGGCACCUGUGCCUGCUUUGGAUUCCUGCAAGCGGCGGGUAGCUGGCAGCGCCAAGAUGGCGUGCGGGUGCGGUGCGGCGAGGAGCUGACCCCCGUCGGGUGCGUACGGCUGCCCCUUCCCAACCCUGUGCCCCCUUCGCUGCGACAGGCUGUGAGCUCUCUGCGCGCUGGCGCACGUCCGUCUGCGGGCCCCUUUGCGCCUGCCACACCGGCUCCUGUGUGAGGCGUGCGGAUGCAGGAGGAGGCGGAAUGCCCCCCGCCGCCACAGACUCACGGCAGUGUCGCACCUGCCACGGUGCAUGUGGGCAGGCCAUCCAGGCACGCCCCCCGUGUCAUCGCCGGCAACGGCAGAUGGUGGCAGCGAGCCCUUCCUCCCCUCCCGCCAACAAGGGUGCCUUGAAGCAGGCCGCACGCUGCGAAUGUGCGAGCGCUGUGCGCACGCGCAGUUGGGCAGAGCCGGCAUGGUGCAUCGCAUUCCCGACGAAGCAUCCAGAGGUGCGAAGAGCGCGAGUGAUGAGCGAGAGAGGAGCCCCGUAGUACAUGCCGAUUAUGCCCACAGCGCAUGCGCGCGCAGCAUGCGGCAUCUCCUCCAUCCCACCGUGCGGCGGAUGAGGCGCCGACCGCGCGGCACGUACCGAAGAGGGGACGAGGCGGGAGAGGAGGGGCCCGCUAGACGCAUGUCCCGAUUCGACGACAUGACGGUUGCUCCUAGACGGCCAGGACGUCGCCGCAGCGCGGCAGUGGGCGCGUGGGCUGCAACUGUGCAUGCGCGUGCUUUUCCUGUCUGUUGAGCUGCGUCAUGAGACAUUGUAAGAAUUGCCUGUUCUGAUGUUUAACACCAACAGAUGGAUGCUACGCCGUCUUUUUCUCCGAUCUGCAUCUGAAUCUGUAUUCAAACGGCGUUGUUUUUUUUUAGGUUUUUUUUUUGCUGAUGCUUUUCCCUUUUUUGUUUUGGGGAGUGUUGUCUUCAUCCUCUAGUCGCCGGUUUGUGUGAAUAGGAUUGAGUUUUUUUUUUGUUUACGUGUACCCUGCAUGUUGUUUUAUUUUUGCAUAAAUGUUUUUUCUUCCCAGUUUACUCUCUGUGCUUUAUUCGACCCUUUUUUGUUUUGUGUCAUCUGCGAUGAUGUUUGGGUGUCUGAACGCAACGAGGUUUAUGAGUAAGGGUUUGAAAACCCCCCAAAACGAAGCGAUAAAGGAAAAGGCUAACUUCGCUGAGGACGCGGAGUACGUCGCGCAUUCGUGCCAAAAGGUGUCUCCUGUCGAAAAGCGCCGAGUGAAGUUUACAACUUCAUGCUCUUCUCAUAGAGGGAAGUGCGUCGUGAGUAUAGCUGGGCGAUGUGCCUGGGCACUUACUGGGAAUGGGGGUAGCGGGAAAGGACAGCGCGGGCCAGGAUAACGGAGUCGCUUUUUUGAGCGAUGCUGCACCGAGGCACUCUUGCGUGAAAAGGCGAGAAACAUGCAACAGCUUCUUUGAAUAUCCGACUGCCCUUUGCUCGCUCUCUCUGGUGUUCACCUUCUGUAG
rnacentral:misc_RNA from 1 species